rnacentral:rRNA from 1 species
GACGAACGCUGGCGGCGUGCUUAACACAUGCAAGUCGAACGGAAAGGCCCUGCUUUUGUGUGGUUCUCGUGUGCCGCACGGGUGAGUAACACGUGAGUAACCUCCCCUUGUCUUUGGGAUAACUUUAGGAAACUGGGGCUAUUAUCGGAUAGAAGCUCCUGCUCCGUGGUGGGGGUUGGAAAGAUUCGGCGGUUGGGGAUGGACUCGCGGCUUAUCAGCUUCUUGGUGUGGUAGUUGCUUACCAAGGCUUUGACGGGUAGCCGGCCUGAGAGGGUGAACGGCCACAUGGGGACUGAGAGACGGACCAGAAGCGUACGGGAGGCAGCAGUGGGGAAUAUUGCACAAUGGGCGGAAGUCUGAGACAGCAACGCCGGGUGCGGGAAGACGGGCUUCGGGUGGUAAACCGAUUUGGACGGUGACGAAGCGUGAGUGACGGUAAUGGGUAAAGAAGCACCGGCUAACUACGUG